GGGUUUCUGCCGCCGGCCGCUGACCGCACGCCUUGCACCUCUCUCAGGUCUGCUUUCUCCUCUCCGACCUUUGCAGCCGCUGCCGCCAUUUCACAGGUGGAAGAGUGGGGCUUAGCGAGGUCAAAUGAGGCCCGAAGUCAGGGGCGGCUGCGAGAGCGCAGCGUUGAAUCUGGUCAGCGUGUCCCCGAGGCUGAUCAAAGUGUGAAAACUCUGGGGAGGGAGCGGAUCUAGCCGUGCUCUGAGUUUGGAGCCGGCUUCUCCGGGGCCCAGGCAUCGUAUGAGAGCUCAGGUUGCUCUGCUACUUCACCAGCUCUUCACCUUCAGUGAUGUUAUUUUAGCCAUUCCAGAUCCAGGCUGGGACCCCAUGUUGCAGGUGGUCUUCCUAUCUCCUUGGUCUCCUCCAUAGGUGACACUUCCUCAGUCUUCAUGACUCUGCCUUUUAUGACAUGGACACUUUUGAAGAGUACUUGUCAGGUAUUUUGUGGAGACCAUAAGCAGCUCCACCUUUGUGUCUCCGGAGGACUACAAGCAAUUCAAGAUGAUAUUUGAGCCAUUGUACUCCAGAGUGAGAGGACCACUGCCCAGGGUGAGAACGCUGCAGUUUUUUUAAUUCACUUAACUUUUCCCUGAAUUCCAAAACCCUUAUCUACACUUUGUUCUUUUUAUAAAAUGGCCCAUUUUAAAAUGGAAUUCGAGAUGAUCUGUUAGGGUACAUAUCUGUUAUUUUCUCAGAUCUCUGGCCAUCUGAAUAAAGCGCCUAUAGAUUCAACUCCUGUCUCCACUUACUGGGUCUGGUAGGUGACAGGCAGCACAAACAUCAGCUUUUCUGGUUUCACAAGGACUGGCUGUGACCACUGACCACCAUCCUCCACACUCCACCCUCUGUGGAGGACCAGGUGUGCAGGGCAGGGUGGAGUUGCUCUGAUGUGGUCUGUAGCUGUCCACUGGCUGUACAGGGUCUGAGGUUUCCUGGAUGGUGCAGGCCACGGUCAGUCCCAACCUGUGCUCAGGCAUGGGGCCACUCUGCAUGAGCUAUAAAACAAUCUGAGGUGGCUGCUACUUGGGCUGGGCUUGGAGAUUCCCAGGCAAAGCUAAGCUGUGAAUCUAGGCUGGCUGCUACUAGUUCUGUGCGUGGGGCCACUUAGCAAGAGGUACAAGGGCUGGGGGCUCACUGAGGUCCGCUGCUACUUGUCUGAGAGGAUUUAGGAAGUUACGAAGCAUGAGCCAAGACCAGCCAUUCAUAUGGAAAAUUCAGUCAGCAUUUGGGUGGACCCAUAAGUUGGGUGGGAUGGAGUCUCAGGGGAUCUUCAAGGCAGGGCAAACAGUGUUAGCCUUGUUGAUGGAGUCUCAGAUAUGGCGCCCACCUACCAGCUCUGUGGCUUUGUUGGGGGAGGGCUCAAAAGAAGGACAGUGGCUUCUGCCUACCUUUCUAUCUGGGAGAAAGCUGUCCCCUGGCCCUCACCUUGAUGCCAGACACUUCAGUUUCUCCCUGUGGUCCACUGGUGCCCGUCAGACGGCUACACCUGUGCCUGAGUUCAGAGAGAAUGAGUCUGAGUAACUCUUUGGGGUUCUUUAAGGGGAACUGCUUGGGACUCCAGAAGUUUCUUCCACUGACUCAAUCCGCGCUGAAUCCCCAGAUGUUAUAGGGACUUAUCUUCUUGGCACUGGAACCUUGGAUGUGGAGGCCUGAUGUUGGGCUGAGACUCCUUGCUCCCAAGAUAUCCCUCCUGAGUUUUUAUUCACCUCACGUGGAUGUGGGACCAGCCCAUUCCACAUCUCUGCCCCUCCUGCUCGUUUGGAUGGAUGUGGUGUCUUUAUUUCUGCAGUUGGCAGACUUCCAUUCAGCUCAAUUUCUGAUGGUUCUGAGUUGUGAUUGUUCUAUAUGUUAACUGUGAUUUUGAUGUGGUUGUUCAAGAGUUGUGCCGUGUUUACCUGUGCUGCCAUCUGGACUGGAAGUCAAGAGCUCUUAUUAUUGUUGUCAUCAGUAUUAUUGUCAUAACUGGACUUAACUGUGGAGCCACUUUAGGUGGAAUCAAAUUAGACUUUGUCUCUUGCUGAAAUAAUUAAGGAGACUAGAGUUAUUUUUACCUCUUUAUUAAUAGAAUUUUUUUAAACUAAAGAAAAAUGAUUAUCUCUUGGUUUUCUAAGUAGCAUAGAGUCUUAUUUAAAUAAAUAGUUGAAUGUACUGUGGGGACGAACAUAUCUGUUCCACAUUCUCUAGGGGGAAAAUUAUAUCCUUGUUUUUUGUCCAAUUUCCUUUGCUGACAAUAGGGAUUCAAGUGUAAGAAAGCCUGCACAAAGGAUCUUGGUGACCUCCUGUCCGCAUGCAAGCCACUAGGUGCCACAAAUGAUGUGAAGUUGAACUUGGCCUUGGUUACCUGAGAAAAUGUGGAUUUAUAAUUCCAGUGCUGGAUAAGUGAGGUUUAGGAGCUUGAAGGAAACCUAUAAGCUUUUGGUGCUGAUUGCUUCAGCUGCUGGGAUGCUGAUGAUUCACAUACUUUUAAAAAAUCUUGGAAACCUGCUAAAGGAGGAAUUCCAAAGCAUAUUCUUUUUCUUGACAAAUUUGCCCUCUGAGAGGCUUAAUGAGGCACAAUUUUAUUUGGUACUUUUCCUGAGGGUAGUGCAUGUUCCUCUUUAUUUCUGAAUACUUUCUUCCUUAAAGAAAUUGCAGAAGCUAGGAAUAGGCAAUUCACAGAGGAAGAAAAGCAAAUAGCCAAUAAACAUGAAAAGAUGUUCAAUCGAAUAAAUGCAAAUGGAAGCAAUGAGAUAUUUUUCCUCCAGCCAUGUAAGAACAUAUUCCAUAAAGGCUGAUGAUAAGCCCCAGAAUUGCAGAGAAACCUAGCAC